ACUUAUAUCAUAUGUCUAAGCCAGCAAUAAGUGGUAAACAUGACUUCACCCUUGACUUAAUGAGCCCACACUUUUGUGGAAGAAAAAUUUGCACAAAUACAUUUAACUUUAUGACCUUGAUAGACGUCAUAAGGUACUCACAAAAAUGCCAAAGUAGUUUUCAUGCAUUCUCUCAAGUCUUCUCAAUUUCUCUAUCUACUUGGACAAGAUGAUGAAGAAACUAAGGAUCGUAGAUAUUAGAGGCUUUCCAAAGGUCAGCAUCACUAUCAAGAAUGGAUAUAACGGGACAGAACUCAGGCAUCAAUAUCCAAGUGAGGAAAUCAUUGAAAGUCUAGGGCUAUGGGAUGAGAGAAGGCCAUUGCAUUUUACAACAUACCAUCCAAUCCAAGUCUGCGACAUGUGGUUUUGAACCACUCUGAGUCUGAAUUUCCAGCAAAAUUAAGAAGGCAAUAGAAGAAGUGAUCAGAAGAUGUAAUUAUGGAAGCAACCAUAAAAUGGAAGAUGCAUCAUGGGAAAUACAAAGAACUGACUGCUGGUCAUGGAAAUUGAAAUUGUAGACUUCCUCAGAUUUCCUCCAUUACUUCUUGAUGGCCAAAAACAUGAAGAAAGAAAUCUGAACUCUCUGUGCCAGACUCUGUGUUAGCUCUUGAGAUAUAUUAUCUUCUAAUAUCUUAAGAAGACAUAAAUCAAGAAUGUUAACACAAACCUGCAAAGAUCCAGUACUAACACUGAACACUAGCUGGGUC
rnacentral:sRNA from 1 species